GCUUGGGUAGCUCAGAUGGUAGAGCACUUGCCUGUGAAAGGCAAAGGUCCCGAGUUCGAGUCUCGGGUCGGGCA